GACCCGGCUGUGAGGGUCGCUGAAGAUGUAUGCCCGGGGGCGGCACAUCUUGCAGAUGGCAAGGCCUGUGAGGCCGGCACCACUGCCAAGUUCUAGGACAGUCCUGGCGGGAGGAAAGGGGACCGUGUCUUCGACUGCACCAGGGUAAGCCUGCCUUGGUGCCCUGCCCUGUGCCCCGAGGUCACCUGUUAGUGAAGGCUGCUGGGUUCUCGAUGGCCCAUUCUGCAAGGCAGAGGGUGGCGUCCCAUGUGACCAGGCCUGUGGUACCGUGAGAGAUGAUGGCUGUGCUCUCGGAGAUUGUGACCGAGCCUCCCGAGGGCUGCACCAAGAGAGGGCGAGAGAGUCAGUCCAGCGAUCAGAAGGCAAGUGGCUUAGAAGACAAGUAGCCAUCCACCACAUGGCUGAAUAAACCAUGACAGGACCAAUCGCCACUCAGCAAUGAGAAGCAGCUAACUGUUGACAUACCAACAGCUUUCACGGGCCUCAAGAUUGUCACGUGGCAUGAAAGACACUCAUCUCAGGCCACACAGGAUUCCAUUCAUCGAACAUUCCUGAGACAACGGAAUUCUGGCGAUGGAGCACAGGAGGUCUGCUACUGCCUACUAAGGAACGGCUUCUCGACAUCCUCCUGUCAAACCCUGCAUGUUCAGGCCCAUCUUUAAAAUCCAUCCUAGGCCAGGUGCAGUGGCUCAUGCCUGUAAUCCCAGCACUUUGGGAGGCCGAGGCAGGCGGAUCACCUGAGGUCAGGAGUUCGAGACCAGCCUGGCCAACAUGGUGAAACUCUGUUUCUACUAAAAAUACAAAAAUUAGCCAGGCAUGGUGGCGUGUGCCUGUAGUCCCAGCUUCUUAGAAGGCUAGGCACGAGAAUUGCUUGAACCCAGGAGGCAGAGAUUUCAGGGAGCCGAGAUUGUGCCACGGUAAUCCAGCCUGGGCACCACAGUGAGACUGUCUCAAAAAAGUAAAUAAACAAGUAAAAAAUAAAAUAUGCUUCACAGUCUACGGCAAAGGACAGAACGUUGGUUGCUCGAGAGCCCGUCUUAAGUCUCCUAUGAGCUUCAAGCCAACACAACAGAGGGCAAACUCCAGGCUACCUGAUCCCUCAGCAAAGAUGCAGAUGGACACAGCGUUCUGGCCCCACGCAUCUGAAGUUCGUCUUAAGAUGUAAGCCGUUUCCUAAAAAUGCUUCCACUGCAGUGUGAAAGCCUCAGCGCAUGAGCCAAUUCUGUGCAGUGCUCGACAUACAGAUGAGAACACUGAGGCACGAGGCACAGCCUGUGAUCUGGCCACCGCGCUCAGGAGGAGGUGGUUACCCGCGGGCCUGAGGGCGCUGACUUUUUAGAAUGGGCGAGUGCAGCUGUGUCCCAGUGUCCCAGUGACCAGAACGAUUACUGCCUUUU
rnacentral:lncRNA from 1 species